rnacentral:rRNA from 1 species
GGUUAAGCGACUAAGCGUACACGGUGGAUGCCCUGGCAGUCAGAGGCGAUGAAGGACGUGCUAAUCUGCGAUAAGCGUCGGUAAGGUGAUAUGAACCGUUAUAACCGGCGAUUUCCGAAUGGGGAAACCCAGUGUGAUUCGUCACACUAUCAUUAACUGAAUCCAUAGGUUAAUGAGGCGAACCGGGGGAACUGAAACAUCUAAGUACCCCGAGGAAAAGAAAUCAACCGAGAUUCCCCCAGUAGCGGCGAGCGAACGGGGAGCAGCCCAGAGCCUGAAUCAGUGUGUGUGUUAGUGGAAGCGUCUGGAAAGGCGCGCGAUACAGGGUGACAGCCCCGUACACAAAAAUGCACAUGCUGUGAGCUCGAUGAGUAGGGCGGGACACGUGGUAUCCUGUCUGAAUAUGGGGGGACCAUCCUCCAAGGCUAAAUACUCCUGACUGACCGAUAGUGAACCAGUACCGUGAGGGAAAGGCGAAAAGAACCCCGGCGAGGGGAGUGAAAAAGAACCUGAAACCGUGUACGUACAAGCAGUGGGAGCACAGAGCAAUCUGUGUGACUGCGUACCUUUUGUAUAAUGGGUCAGCGACUUAUAUUCUGUAGCAAGGUUAACCGAAUAGGGGAGCCGAAGGGAAACCGAGUCUUAACUGGGCGUUAAGUUGCAGGGUAUAGACCCGAAACCCGGUGAUCUAGCCAUGGGCAGGUUGAAGGUUGGGUAACACUAACUGGAGGACCGAACCGACUAAUGUUGAAAAAUUAGCGGAUGACUUGUGGCUGGGGGUGAAAGGCCAAUCAAACCGGGAGAUAGCUGGUUCUCCCCGAAAGCUAUUUAGGUAGCGCCUCGUGAAUUCAUCUCCGGGGGUAGAGCACUGUUUCGGCAAGGGGGUCAUCCCGACUUACCAACCCGAUGCAAACUGCGAAUACCGGAGAAUGUUAUCACGGGAGACACACGGCGGGUGCUAACGUCCGUCGUGAAGAGGGAAACAACCCAGACCGCCAGCUAAGGUCCCAAAGUCAUGGUUAAGUGGGAAACGAUGUGGGAAGGCCCAGACAGCCAGGAUGUUGGCUUAGAAGCAGCCAUCAUUUAAAGAAAGCGUAAUAGCUCACUGGUCGAGUCGGCCUGCGCGGAAGAUGUAACGGGGCUAAACCAUGCACCGAAGCUGCGGCAGCGACGCUGAUGCGUUGUUGGGUAGGGGAGCGUUCUGUAAGCCUGCGAAGGUGUGCUGUGAGGCAUGCUGGAGGUAUCAGAAGUGCGAAUGCUGACAUAAGUAACGAUAAAGCGGGUGAAAAGCCCGCUCGCCGGAAGACCAAGGGUUCCUGUCCAACGUUAAUCGGGGCAGGGUGAGUCGACCCCUAAGGCGAGGCCGAAAGGCGUAGUCGAUGGGAAACAGGUUAAUAUUCCUGUACUUGGUGUUACUGCGAAGGGGGGACGGAGAAGGCUAUGUUGGCCGGGCGACGGUUGUCCCGGUUUAAGCGUGUAGGCUGGUUUUCCAGGCAAAUCCGGAAAAUCAAGGCUGAGGCGUGAUGACGAGG